AUGGGUACGUCAGCGUCGUCGUUCCUGGACCGACGCGACGCUCGCCGCCGCGGCUACGAACCGAUCCCCCGGCACGACGAGGACGAGAAAGGGAUGCCGAUCGCUUACGAGGAGCAGAAGGACAUACUAGAACAGAUGUCGAUCCCUCGGCGCGACGACGAUCGAUCUCAGCCGCAGCAGCAGCAGGAGGAGGACAUAAUACUCUUCGAGGAGGAGAGGCAAGGGCCGGCGGCCCUGGAGGCGCGCGCGCGCGUGCUGAGGGGCAGGGCCUUCCGGCAAGGGACCGUGUUCCGGACCUGGCAGGACCUCAAGGACUCGGCCCUCUGCUACCUCAUCGCCUUAAACUGCUGA
rnacentral:rRNA from 1 species